rnacentral:rRNA from 1 species
CGCCGCUGGCGGCAGGCUUAACACAUGCAAGUCGAGCGCCCCGCAGGGGAGCGGCAGACGGGUGAGUAACGCGUGGGAACGUACCAUUUGCUACGGAAUAACUCAGGGAAACUUGUGCUAAUACCGUAUGUGCCCUUCGGGGGAAAGAUUUAUCGGCAAAUGAUCGGCCCGCGUUGGAUUAGCUAGUUGGUGGGGUAAAGGCUCACCAAGGCGACGAUCCAUAGCUGGUCUGAGAGGAUGAUCAGCCACACUGGGACUGAGACACGGCCCAGACUCCUACGGGAGGCAGCAGUGGGGAAUAUUGGACAAUGGGCGCAAGCCUGAUCCAGCCAUGCCGCGUGAGUGAUGAAGGCCCUAGGGUUGUAAAGCUCUUUCACCGGUGAAGAUAAUGACGGUAACCGGAGAAGAAGCCCCGGCUAACUUCGUGCCAGCAGCCGCGUAAUA